CACUACGUUAAACACACCCUAACUUUCAGCUGUGUACUUCUUUUCCUCUUUCAGGUUCUGCCCUGAUGUUUCCUGGAAUAAUGCUGAGGACUGCCUUUCGGGUAGCCGCCCUAUUCAGUUCACUUCAUCUCGGAAAUACCUGACCCCUGCCUUGGAUCCAGCGGCCCUCCUGAGAGCUGAGGAAGGAGGAAAUCCUAUGUGUCUGCUCCCGGAGCUGCCACAACCCAUCUUCCCACAACUCGGAACUUGGAAAAAGGAACCCAGGACACGACUUUGCUUUUCUUUUGGACCUAGUUGAAGUCACAGCUUGGAGGAAACCAGUUUGCACUAUUUGAUGAGGAAUUUGGCCACCAAACCACUGAUACUUUCCCAAAGGUUUGGCAGAAAUUGUUUUUUGAGUGGCUCACCAGAGUACCCAGAAGAAUCAGUAUGGAAUUAGAGGACAGUGGCCUACCCUAAAUAAAGACAUGAGUGAUGUAUAAA
rnacentral:lncRNA from 1 species